AUAACUAUAAUUUUUCUAUAUUUUUUAUUGAUUUAAUAUAUUUAUUUUUUUUUUAAAUUUUAUUUUAGGUGGUCCAAGAAGUACUAACGGUUUUAUUACAAAGCACAGCGGAUGAGCUUUGGAAAAUUUUUUUGGAAAUUGGAAGCUCACACCUUCAUCCUAACCGAUGUCGUAAAACUUCCCCAGAGGUGGGGUUUGAACAACGGAUCCUUUGUUUCUGAGGCAAGUGCGCAACCAUUGUGCCAGGGCAGCUCAAUUUCUAUUACUUAAGACAAUGAAGCCUUCAAAGUCAGGUGCAACUAAAAGAAAAGAGGCAGCAGCAACAAAAGAUGCAAUUAGCAAACUUCCCAAAGUUACAUCAUUCUUUACACCUAUUCCAAGUAAUUGCACCAGCAAUGAAAAAAAUUGCUCUAAUGAAGUGGUCAUUCAUGAACAGUUAGAUAUUGCGAAUAAUCAACCUAACACAAUAGAAAAGUUGUACACUCUACCAUUGCCACCGUUUAGUUCCGUUGCUUGUGACCCAGCCAGCUGGCCUGAACAAAUUUCUGAUGCUCAACGAUGUGAUCUAGUCAAACGUGGUCCUCAACAGGUUGAUAUUGACUUUCCAUACAAUAUUGCUGCAAGGCGUCGAUUUUCAACGGUUCAUUACAAGCGUGUGAUGAAUAAUGGAGAAACUGUGCCUCGCUCAUGGCUUGUGUAUUCGGUAAAAUCUGACAAGAUUUUUUGUUUUUGCUGUAAACUUUUUGAAACAAAUGAAAGACCGUUUCGUAGUGGUACUAGUACAUGGGAGGGACUAUCAAAGAAGUUAAAAGACCAUGAAACAGGAACAUCCCAUCAAAAGUGUUUUAGACAAUGGAUGCAGCUUAAAGAGGGUAUCAAUAAUGAUUCAUCUAUAGAUAAACAAAAAAUGCAGCUUUUUCUUAAAGAAAGGCAAUUUUGGAGGGAUGUCCUGGAGUGUCUUAUUGACAUUAUAAAGUUCCUGUCAGAAAGAAAUUUAGCAUUUAGAGGUUCCGAAGAAGUACUUGGCUCACCACACAAUGGAAGCUUUUUGGGUCUGUAUGGAAACUUUUUGGGUCUAUUAGCAAAAAGAGAUCCUGUACUGAACGAGCUACAGAAAAGAAUUGAAAAAAAACAAACACAUGAUCAUUACCUCAGCAACAAAAUCCAGAAUGAGUUAAUUCAACUUAUUCCAAAAGAAGUAGAAAAAGAAAACGUGAAAAAACUAAUGAUAUCUAAGUAUUAUGCGAUAAUUCUGGAUUGUACUCCAGAUGUUUCUAACCAAGAACAGUUAACAGUCAUUUUGCGUUUUGUUGAGUGUGAUACAGGUAAUGAAGUCACAAUAAAGGAAUCUUUUUUUGGAUACUUUCAAGUUAGUGACAGCUCAGGAAAAUGGCUUUUUGACACAUUUUUAAAGCGAGCAAAGGAGUUAAAACUGAAUAUGUUAGACUGUCGGGGCCAGUCGUAUGAUAAUGGUUCUAAUAUGAAAGGGAAGAAUUCUGGUGUUCAGUUAUCAAUUCUACAAACAAAUCCGAAAGCUCUGUAUGUGCCUUGUGCUAAUCGCUGCUUGAAUUUAGUUGUGGUUGACAGUGCCAAGUCGUCAACUAGGGCUUUAUCAUUCUUUGGUGUUCUGUCCAGAUUGUACACCAUAUUUUCAUCAUCCACACAGCGCUGGAGCAUUUUGAAUGAACAUGUGGAGAUUCCUGUUAAAAAUCAAUCGGACACUCGAUGGGAAAGUCAAACUAACUGUAUUAAACCUCUGCGGUAUUAUUUUGGAAAUGUUUUGAUUGCACUGGAAAAACUGGAGGAGUAUGCAAUAGAAAAAAAAGAUGGAAAAACAGCUACGGAGGCUCGGUCAUUGAUAACAUAUAUUUCAGACUGGGCAUUUCUUUUGUCUAUUGUCAUCUGGUAUGAGAUUUUAUUCCAAGUAAAUAAAACAAGCAAGCUCAUUCAAUCCUUUGGUAUUUCUCUAGAUGUUAUGGAAAAUGAAAUCAGAGCAGCUGAGGCAUUUUUAGAGAAGUAUCGAGAAAAUGGAUUCUCAAGUGCUGAGACCACAGCCCGUGAAAUUGCAGAAGAACUAAAUAUUCCAAGAAAUUUUCCAUCAAUUCGCAACAAUAGGAAGAAAAAAUUGUUUGAUUAUGAAGGAGACGACGAAAGCGGUAGUCAAACGCCCCAAUCACAGUUCAAAACUGACUUUUUUUUUGUGCUUGUGGACCAAGCUUUACAAUCUGUACGGGAGCGUUUCCAACAAACACAUGAUGUGGCUGCUGUAUUUUUAUUUCUGUUCAAUCAGAAAAGUCUUUUUUCUGAUUGAACAAGCAUACAAAGACAACACCCUUUUGCUGAAGUGCCAGAAAUUUUACAAUAAAAUGGGUGAUAUAGAUCCGUUUGAAAUGGAGAUGGAAUUAAAGCGAUUUAUUCAUCUAGUUUUAGAAAACGAUGAAAAGCUAAAAACUGCAAUACAUUUUCUGAAUUAUAUCAACAGCAAAUGUCUCCAGGAGGUGUAUCCUAAUGUCGCUAUCGCACUCCAAAACCCACUUUUUUUGGGGGGGGCCCACCAGCUGUCUGGCACGGCACUGCUUGAAAGAUAUGCUGGUAUUAUUAGCACAAUGGGUAAGCAUUGAAUUGCUACUUGAUUUAUAGUUGAACUAAAAAAUACAUCAAAUUCAGUUAUAAAAAUUUGAGUAACAAAGGUAUGCUAAUUAUUGUAUUGUCUAAAAGAGUGUCAUUGCCAUUAAAAGCAGUGAAGAAUUCAAGUACUCUGGAAGAAAAAAGACAAGAAAACACUUAAAUAAUUGGUUAAUUAUUUGCCACAAAUUGGAGUUAAAGACGAAGGAGAUUAUAUAUGUUAUUUACUAAGAAUAGUUUCUUAAAAUAGCCUAGCUGUAAAAUUAAACUAUGCAGGGAGAGGACAAAAAAUUGGAAUAGGAAAAAUAUUGAUUGCAUAUGUUGCUAUUGAAACUGUGAAGUCAAAUAAGCAUGGCUUAUGCAGACAUGUGAUAGAGAUAGUGG